ACUGCUGUUCGUGUCAAAGGUUAGGUGGUGUCUGCAUUUUCCUUCAAGGUUUUUCUGGGUGAUUUUUAAAGCCUUCCCCCACGCCCAAUGUUUUCCAAAUCCAGCCUGAUUGGAGUAAUCACGGACCAUGUCUUUGAUGAGAAGGCCUCAACAGUCCGCAGGUGCCUCGCGUCAUGGUGUGAACAAGCCGCGCGCUGUGACGUCCUUCUCACUGCUAGACUAACAAAGAUGUCAAAUGAAAUAAGUGUCUCUCAUGGGACUUUGCUGCACAUGUCAGUGUCCACUCUAGAAGUGGCCAAUGAGGUUUUCAUUCCAGCUUCAUGACUUUAUUAUUUCAUUAGUCAUAGCAUUUACGCCAUCUGACAUUUUAGCUACAUUUCCUGAUAAGCGCAUGAAUGACCGCCGAAGACUGUAUCCCUAUAUGAAACGUUUUUAUGUGAUCUAAUCUGAGUGAACCAGUGAUUGGUGCAUAGAGCCAAUUAUCAUUUAUUCGGGGUAAUUGUAGCGACACCGGCCCUGCAGAACCAGAAUUGUCCAACCCUGGUGCACUCGCAUGCCCUAUGUACCCAAAGCCUUCAAAUAAAGAAAGCUUAAUUCAGAGCAUUUGCUCAAUAGAGCCCAGAAGACGGCAUUCAUGAGACCUCACAACCACGCACCAAUAAUGACUUUAGGUUUACGCAGUUCUCACAGAACAAGAAGCGUCCAUUCAUAUGCAUUAACAACUCCAGUGCAGGGGGGCGGUGCAUACCAUAUAAAUUAACUCCUGAACCAUGGGUAAAAAAAACAUGAAAUGAAAACUUGUGCACACGUUCACUGACUGUAGCCGACGUUAUUGACUAAAUAAAAUCAGAUUAUACAUCUG